rnacentral:rRNA from 1 species
GACAGAGGCCUCAAGCGUUAGGCGGAAUCACUGGGCUUAAAGCGUGUGUAGGCGGAUCGUUAAGUGCCUUGUGAAAUCCCACGGCUUAACUGUGGAACGGCUGGGCAUACUGGCGGUCUUGAGCCAUCUAGGGGCGACUGGAACAAACGGUGGAGCGGUGAAAUGCGUAGAUAUUGGGAAGAACACCGGUGGCGAAGGCGGCCAUCUGGACCAUUUCUGACGCUGAGGCGCGAAAGCGUGGGGAGCAAACAGG